rnacentral:rRNA from 1 species
CCCGCACAAGCGGUAGAGCAUGUGGUUUAAUUCGAAGCAACGCGAAGAACCUUACCAGGUCUUGACAUCCCGAUGCUAUUUCUAGAGAUAGAAAGUUACUUCGGUACAUCGGUGACAGGUGGUGCAUGGUUGUCGUCAGCUCGUGUCGUGAGAUGUUGGGUUAAGUCCCGCAACGAGCGCAACCCCUAUUGUUAGUUGCCAUCAUUCAGUUGGGCACUCUAGCGAGACUGCCGGUAAUAAACCGGAGGAAGGUGGGGAUGACGUCAAAUCAUCAUGCCCCUUAUGACCUGGGCUACACACGUGCUACAAUGGUUGGUACAACGAGUUGCGAGUCGGUGACGGCGAGCUAAUCUCUUAAAGCCAAUCUCAGUUCGGAUUGUAGGCUGCAACUCGCCUACAUGAAGUCGGAAUCGCUAGUAAUCGUGGAUCAGAAUGUCACGGUGAAUACGUUCCCGGGUCUU